rnacentral:lncRNA from 1 species
AUGGUUAUAGAGUGCCGGGGCUGCGGAGAGGCCGGGGGACGCCGGCGGGGACCGGGCAGGCGUUUGGUGGCCCCGGAUGCACAAAAAAAAUCCAACGGAGGCCCUGAGAGCUCGGCUCCAUCGCAGGGGCCCUGCAGCAGCUCCAGGGCUUCCCACGGGGGACGGAGCCCGGAGCGGGGACGGCGGCGGCGAGCACGGACACGGGCGGACGGUGGAUGCCAGAGCGCGCCAGGACGGACGCACGCCCCUGGUAGAUUAGAAUCCAAAUUAGGUGGUGAUCCGGUUACCAUCAGCACGACGUCGAGGACGAAAGCGGCGUGGCUAAGGACGAAGCUAGGCGGGACGGAGACCAACACGCAAAACCAGCGCCGACAGCGGGCUGCCCCCAAGGGAAAAAACCGACCCAAGCGACCCCCCCCCAGCCCUCACCCACCCCUCGCCUCUGCUCAGAGCUCCCUGCAAGUGUUGCUGCCUCACUUUGCUUUUAACUCUCUCACAGUCGCUGUACACAAUAUAGAUAUUUAUAGAUAUAAUCUAUAUAUAUAUAAAACACAGACCGAAGGCCAGGUUUUGCCGUCGCCACUCCCCUGCGAGCCCGGCGGUGCUGGAGCGGUGCCCGGGCACAGCCCCCGGUCCCCCCCUCGCCCCCCGGGGUACCGGUGCCAGGAGAACCACGAUGCUUCCGCUCGCCUUCGAGAACCACGACCUGGUCAAGACACGGGGGGACGGGGACGGGGACAGGACGGGGGGGGGCGGUGGCAGGGAAUGCGUUUUUUUUUUUUUUUUAAUUUUCGUUUUGUCAUUUUCUUUUCAUUUUUUUCUCUUUUUUUUUUUUUUUGGAUGGUUGAGAUGAGCUUAUUGCGAGAUUUCAGCGUCCUAGUCUAA